ACAAACUCUGUAACUUCUUCCGCCAAACCACACCCAGAACUACUUCUGCACGCACACAGGAAAAUGAGAAAGAAGAAUUCUCAAAGAUUUGGAUGUAAAUUCUCAAAAACAUUUAAAGGAGAGCAAGACUGAUCCGAAGUUUAUGGAACCAGAAAAUGAGACAAAUUGCAAGACAGCUAUAAGAACUGUGGAACAGAGCAGUGUGAUGGUGAGAGCAAUUAAAAAUCA